rnacentral:rRNA from 1 species
UACGUAGGGUCCGAGCGUUGUCCGGAAUUAUUGGGCGUAAAGGGCUCGUAGGCGGUUUGUCACGUCGGGAGUGAAAACUCGGAGCUUAACUCCGAGCCUGCUUCCGAUACGGGCAGACUAGAGGUAGGCAGGGGAGAGCGGAACUCCUGGUGUAGCGGUGGAAUGCGUAGAUAUCUGGAGGAACACCGGUGGCGAAGGCGGCAUCCUGGACCGAGAUUGACGCUGAGGCGCGAAAGCCAGGGGAGCAAACGGG